UUUCAGGGCAUUGACCUGGCAGCCCAGGCCCGGCGGCUGGACAGACAGGAAGGGAGGACACAGGUCCUGGUCCCUGAGCUAUCCAAGGAGAGCCCCUUCACCAGCCUGCAAAAGCUAGACCUGCUCGAGGAGAUCAUCACAGAGCUACAGGGAGCCCCCAAACCAAGGAGCUGAAUGUGGAUCGCCGGGCCCAGUCCAGCUGUUGUCGGCCACCUGACCCUAAACCCAAUAAAGCUUCCCCCGCCUGCC